UUAAAUCUGAAAUACCAAUUAUAACUGAAAGAGAUUUUAACCUGUUUCUUUUCAGACUGCCUGAAGUUACAUUGUAGAUGCUGAAAUCACUGCACCUUAAAAACAAAAAGAUUAAGCUGCACUGCAUUCUUAUGUAUAGAGGCAUGUUAUAG
rnacentral:lncRNA from 1 species